UACGUAGGUGGCAAGCGUUGUCCGGAAUUACUGGGCGUAAAGCGUGCGCAGGCGGUUGUGCAAGACAGGUGUGAAAUCCCCGGGCUCAACCUGGGAACUGCAUUUGUGACUGCACGGCUGGAGUGCGGCAGAGGGGGAUGGAAUUCCGCGUGUAGCAGUGAAAUGCGUAGAUAUGCGGAGGAACACCGAUGGCGAAGGCAAUCCCCUGGGCCUGCACUGACGCUCAUGCACGAAAGCGUGGGGAGCAAACAGG
rnacentral:rRNA from 1 species